UACGUAGGUGGCAAGCGUUGUCCGGAAUUACUGGGCGUAAAGAGCGCGUAGGCGGCUCGAUAAGUCUGAUGUGAAAUCCCUGGACUCAAUUCAGGAAGUGCAUUGGAUACUGUCGAGCUCGAGUGAAGGAGAGGAAAGCGGAAUUCCCGGUGUAGAGGUGAAAUUCGUAGAUAUCGGGAGGAACAACAGAGGCGAAGGCGGCUUUCUGGACUUCAACUGACGCUGAGGCGCGAAAGCGUGGGGAGCAAACAGG
rnacentral:rRNA from 1 species